rnacentral:lncRNA from 1 species
GGGUAGGGGACGUCGAGAUCUCCAGAGCUCUUCUCUCUUGAUAGGAUGGGAGUGGGCCUUCUCGGCCGAGAGCCCCACAUGGCCAGCGUGGGCAGAAGCUCAGUGUGCAUCUCCCUGCUGAUCUCCUUCAGAUGAGAGCUGGGCCACACAGGCCCACAGCCGCCGGAGGUCAUGGCACUCUUUCUGCUGUGGUCCAUGCUGCUUUUGUUGCUGCCGUCCCGCACAGCCCUCCAAAGACCCCUUGCUGCUGGACUUCUCUGGCCUGGCCCCUCUUCCUCCCUUGUACUUGGCAACUUCUUUCAGCCAAGUGAUUGUUACUCCCUUCUUCCACUUGACCAUGCCCAUUCAGAAAGGGGGAUGAAUUCAGCCCUGGGGGUUUGCAUAGCAUCAGCUUCUGUUAGGACGCAUGAAUGGAGAGCCCCCUCUCAGCAGGGGCGUAGGAGGCCGACUUGCCUUCCGGUCCCCUCACGUCUACAUGCCUUGUAUAUACUUGAGAUUUCUGACUCACUUGAACUCUUUUCCACUAAGUGACAUCCAUCUUUACUCCAUCAAAGGCAGGAGGAAGGUGGACAUUGGAUUGAUUACCCUGGAGCCCUGGGCUCACUGCUUUCUAGCGAGCAUCCGUUUGGGUCCUCGCAGCACCCCUCCCAGGUGGAUGGUGCUGUCCUGACCAACAGUCUGUUAGACUCUUGUUUACAUAGAGGUGAACCAACCUCUCUGAGUUCUGAGAUUCCCUCUUAGCCCCAUAGCUGGGACCAGAUCUGCUCUUUCUGCUCCAUCUUGAAAGCAAGGCAGCCUCUGCCCAGAAAGUAUGAUCAUAGCAGGUCAUUUGCAGCCUGGGACCCUCCCUCUCCCCGCAACUCCACGUCCCUCAUACUUCCAGGGGAGGAAGCAAAUGGAUGCAGACUGCUACUUGGAAGAGACUCCUGAGGAGGUCGCAUUAAACCACCUGUAAGAAAGGUGGAGCUGGAUUCACCUGGCGCCCUGUUCUUUACGCACAGGGACCCGAUUGAGAGUAUCUGUGCCAGAUCCCAGGUGUGGGCUGGCUGCUGAACC